GUGGGACCUGACCAGACAGAAGAAGCUAUGGCUUUCUUGACGUUUGUGUAAGAUGAAGAUGAGAGAACAAGGGACCAGACAGGAGCUAUGGCUUUCUCGAUGCUUGUUUAAGAGGAUGCUGAUGCUGAUAUCAAGAAGAUGGAGCUCCCUUACGCCAUUACCCAAAUCUGCAACUCAGGAAAGCAAUUGAGUGGUCAUUUCCACUCCAGUCAAUGUGCUAGGAUUGUUUAGUGAUGGAAGAAAAUGUCAAAGAUGGCAUGGAUGAAGAACUUCGCGCAGACUCUCAAAGAUGGCAUGGAAAGCAAUUGAUUUGUUGAACCGUUGUUCUACAUGAUUCUCACAGGCAAUCCUUGACAGUUAUUCACUGUUACUCGGUCUGGUUUUGGAUUUCAAGAGGGUUUUCAGCAGAUUUUGUGCAUGUUCAUGAUGCGAGUAAUCAAUGGGUAGGGUACACACACACUCACAUGGUUUCUUACAGAAACUGUCCAUAUAUAAAUCACAUCCAUUUCCUUUAGAGUUGCAAAUCACACUGUCAAAAUAGAUAUUCACUAGAUAGGUUUUAUGAGCAAUGCUGUGCGUGGGUUUAUUAUUUUUUUAUUGUAGAAAAUGUAUUAAGAAUAUAUAAAUUUAUUUUUUCAAAAAUAAUUAAAAA